CAGCUAGAGGUUGGUCAACGACGGGGCAGCUAGAGGUUGGUCAACGACGGGGCAGCUAGAGGUUGGUCAACGACGGGGCAGCUAGAGGUUGGUCAA